rnacentral:rRNA from 1 species
UACGGAGGAUCCAAGCGUUAUCCGGAUUUAUUGGGUUUAAAGGGUGCGUAGGCGGGCUUGUAAGUCAGCGGUGAAAGUUCUCGGCUCAACCGAGGAAUUGCCGUUGAAACUGUAGGCCUUGAGUAUAGAUGAGGUGGGCGGAAUUCGUAGUGUAGCGGUGAAAUGCUUAGAUAUUACGAAGAACUCCAAUUGCGAAGGCAGCUCACUGGGCUAUAACUGACGCUGAGGCACGAAGGUGCGGGGAUCAAACAGG